rnacentral:rRNA from 1 species
AGCGAACGCUGGCGGCAGGCCUAACACAUGCAAGUCGAACGAACUCUUCGGAGUUAGUGGCGGACGGGUGAGUAACACGUGGGAACGUGCCUUUAGGUUCGGAAUAACUCAGGGAAACUUGUGCUAAUACCGAAUGUGCCCUUCGGGGGAAAGAUUUAUCACCUUUAGAGCGGCCCGCGUCUGAUUAGCUAGUUGGUGAGGUAAAGGCUCACCAAGGCGACGAUCAGUAGCUGGUCUGAGAGGAUGAUCAGCCACAUUGGGACUGAGACACGGCCCAAACUCCUACGGGAGGCAGCAGUGGGGAAUCUUGCGCAAUGGGCGAAAGCCUGACGCAGCCAUGCCGCGUGAAUGAUGAAGGUCUUAGGAUUGUAAAAUUCUUUCACCGGGGACGAUAAUGACGGUACCCGGAGAAGAAGCCCCGGCUAACUUCGUG